UACGUAGGGCGCAAGCGUUGUCCGGAAUUAUUGGGCGUAAAGAGCUCGUAGGCGGCUUGUCGCGUCGGAUGUGAAAGCCCGGGGCUUAACCCCGGGUCUGCAUUCGAUACGGGCAGGCUAGAGUUCGGUAGGGGAGAUCGGAAUUCCUGGUGUAGCGGUGAAAUGUGUAGAGAUCGGGAGGAACACCGGUGGCGAAGGCGGGUCUCUGGGCAAUUCCUGACGCUGAGGCGCGAAAGCGUGGGGAGCAAACGGG
rnacentral:rRNA from 1 species